GACGAACGCUGGCGGCGUGCUUAACACAUGCAAGUCGAACGAAGAGCGACGGAAGCUUGCUUCUAUCAAUCUUAGUGGCGAACGGGUGAGUAACGCGUAAUCAACCUGCCCUUCAGAGGGGGACAACAGUUGGAAACGACUGCUAAUACCGCAUACGAUCUAACCUCGGCAUCGAGGAUAGAUGAAAGGUGGCCUCUACAUGUAAGCUCUCACUGAAGGAGGGGAUUGCGUCUGAUUAGCUAGUUGGAGGGGUAACGGCCCACCAAGGCGAUGAUCAGUAGCCGGUCUGAGAGGAUGAACGGCCACAUUGGGACUGAGACACGGCCCAGACUCCUACGGGAGGCAGCAGUGGGGAAUCUUCCGCAAUGGACGAAAGUCUGACGGAGCAACGCCGCGUGAGUGAUGACGGCCUUCGGGUUGUAAAGCUCUGUUAAUCGGGACGAAAGGCCUUCUUGCGAAUAGUGAGAAGGAUUGACGGUACCGGAAUAGAAAGCCACGGCUAACUACGUG
rnacentral:rRNA from 1 species